rnacentral:rRNA from 1 species
UACGUAGGAGACGAGCGUUGUCCGGAGUUACUGGGCGUAAAGGGUGCGCAGGUGGCUGUGCGCGUGGGGGGGGAAAUCGCCCGGCUUAACUGGGCGGGGGCCUUCCAGACGGCGUAGCUUGAGCAGCGGAGGGGGACGUGGAAUUCCGGGUGGAGCGGUGAAAUGCGUAGAGAUCGGAAAGAACACCAACGGCGAAAGCACUCUGCUGGGCCGACACUGACACUGAGAGACGAAAGCUAGGGGAGCGAAUGGG